AGACUCCAGGUACAUUGACCAUGUCCUAGACUCCAGGUUCAUUGACCAUGUCCUAGACUCCAGGUACAUUGACCAUGUCCUAGACUCCAGGUACAUUGACCAUGUCCUAGACUCCAGGUUCAUUGACCAUGUCCUAGACUCCAGGUACAUUGACCAUGUCCUAGACUCCAAGUUCAUUGACCAUGUCCUAGACUCCAGGUUCAUUGACCAUGUCCUAGACUCCAGGUUCAUUGACCAUGUCCUAGACUCUAAGAUCAAGGUUCAUUGACCAUGUCCUAGACUCCAGGUACAUUGACCAUGUCCUACACUCCAGGUUCAUUGACCAUGUCCUAGACUCCAGGUACAUUGACCAUGUCCUAGACUCCAAGUUCAUUGACCAUGUCCUAGACUCCAGGUUCAUUGACCAUGUCCUAGACUCCAGGUACAUUGACCAUGUCCUAGACUCCAGGUACAUUGACCAUGUCCUAGACUCCAGGUUCAUUGACCAUGUCCUAGACUCCAGGUACAUUGACCAUGUCCUAGACUCCAG
rnacentral:lncRNA from 1 species